rnacentral:rRNA from 1 species
GUGGGGAAUAUUGGACAAUGGGGGCAACCCUGAUCCAGCAAUGCCGCGUGAGUGAAGAAGGCCUUAGGGUUGUAAAGCUCUUUCACCCGUGAAGAUGAUGACGGUAGCGGGAGAAGAAGCCCCGGCUAACUCCGUGCCAGCAGCCGCGGUAAUACGGAGGGGGCUAGCGUUGUUCGGAAUUACUGGGCGUAAAGCGCGCGUAGGCGGCCUGCCAAGUCGGUCGUGAAAGCCCGGGGCUCAACCCCGGAGGUGCGUCCGAUACUGGCGGGCUCGAGACCGGGAGAGGAGAGUGGAAUUCCCAGUGUAGAGGUGAAAUUCGUAGAUAUUGGGAAGAACACCAGUGGCGAAGGCGGCUCUCUGGUCCGGUACUGACGCUGAGGUGCGAAAGCGUGGGGAGCAAACAGG